UCGGGGUACACGAGUGGCGAACGGGUGAGUAACACGUGGGUAAUCUGCCCUGNACAUCGGGAUAAGCCUGGGAAACGUGGGUCUAAUACCGAAUAGGACCACAGAACACAUGUCCUGUGGUGGAAAGCUUUUGCGGUGUGGGAUGGGCCCGCGGCCUAUCAGCUUGUUGGUGGGGUGAUGGCCUACCAAGGCGACGACGGGUAGCCGGCCUGAGAGGGUGUCCGGCCACACUGGGACUGAGAUACGGCCCAGACUCCUACGGGAGGCAGCAGUGGGGAAUAUUGCACAAUGGGCGAAAGCCUGAUGCAGCGACGCCGCGUGGGGGAUGACGGCCUUCGGGUUGUAAACCUCUUUCACCAUCGACGAAGGUUCGGGUUUUCUCGGAUUGACGGUAGGUGGAGAAGAAGCACCGGCCAACUACGUGCCAGCAGCCGCGGUAAUACGUAGGGUGCGAGCGUUGUCCGGAAUUACUGGGCGUAAAGAGCUCGUAGGUGGUUUGUCGCGUUGUUCGUGAAAUCUCACGGCUUAACUGUGAGCGUGCGGGCGAUACGGGCAGACUUGAGUACUGCAGGGGAGACUGGAAUUCCUGGUGUAGCGGUGGAAUGCGCAGAUAUCAGGAGGAACACCGGUGGCGAAGGCGGGUCUCUGGGCAGUAACUGACGCUGAGGAGCGAAAGCGUGGGGAGCGAACAGGAUUAGAUACCCUGGUAGUCCACGCCGUAAACGGUGGGUACUAGGUGUGGGUUUCCUUCCUUGGGAUCCGUGCCGUAGCUAACGCAUUAAGUACCCCGCCUGGGGAGUACGGCCGCAAGGCUAAAACUCAAAGAAAUUGACGGGGGCCCGCACAAGCGGCGGAGCAUGUGGAUUAAUUCGAUGCAACGCGAAGAACCUUACCUGGGUUUGACAUGCACAGGACGCCGGCAGAGAUGUCGGUUCCCUUGUGGCCUGUGUGCAGGUGGUGCAUGGCUGUCGUCAGCUCGUGUCGUGAGAUGUUGGGUUAAGUCCCGCAACGAGCGCAACCCUUGUCUCAUGUUGCCAGCGGGUAAUGCCGGGGACUCGUGAGAGACUGCCGGGGUCAACUCGGAGGAAGGUGGGGAUGACGUCAAGUCAUCAUGCCCCUUAUGUCCAGGGCUUCACACAUGCUACAAUGGCCGGUACAAAGGGCUGCGAUGCCGCGAGGUUAAGCGAAUCCUUUUAAAGCCGGUCUCAGUUCGGAUCGGGGUCUGCAACUCGACCCCGUGAAGUCGGAGUCGCUAGUAAUCGCAGAUCAGCAACUCUGCGGUGAAUACGUUCCCGGGCCUUGUACACACCGCCCGUCACGUCAUGAAAGUCGGUAACACCCGAAGCCAGU
rnacentral:rRNA from 1 species